AAAGGGAGACCUAAUUCAGGUAGGAGACGAAAAAAAAGUAGUCGCUACCAAGAAUCAAUCCCAAAAGGUCGGAGCGAGGCGAAAUUGGCUUUCAAACUAGGUUCUGGGUUCAAACAAGACCUGAAUCAGGAACAAGGGCUAUUAGCUCAGGUGGUUAGAGCGCACCCCUGAUAAGGGUGAGGUCCCUGGUUCGAGUCCAGGAUGGCCCACCUGUACAGGUGGCAAAAAGAAAGAAAAGAAGCGAGGAAUCAGCACCUUAUCUUACUGACAUAGUAAGAGAGAAUGCUGGCUCUGAGUAAAGAGUCCAGAGGAACCUUGAAAACUGCAUAGAGCUAGGCGAAAAAGCCAAAAAAGAAGACCGCAAG
rnacentral:tRNA from 1 species